CUACGUGCCAGCAGCCGCGGUAAUACGGGGGGUGCGAGCGUUAAUCGGAAUAACUGGGCGUAAAGGGCACGCAGGCGGUGACUUAAGUGAGAUGUGAAAGCCCCGAGCUUAACUUGGGAAUUGCAUUUCAUACUGGGUCGCUAGAGUACUUUAGGGAGGGGUAGAAUUCCACGUGUAGCGGUGAAAUGCGUAGAGAUGUGGAGGAAUACCGAAGGCGAAGGCAGCCCCUUGGGAAUGUACUGACGCUCAUGUGCGAAAGCGUGGGGAGCAAACAGGAUUAGAUACCCUGGUAGUCCACGCUGUAAACGAUGUCGAUUUGGGGAUUGGGCUUUGAGCUUGGUGCCCGUAGCUAACGUGAUAAAUCGACCGCCUGGGGAGUACGGCCGCAAGGUUAAAACUCAAAUGAAUUGACGGGGGCCCGCACAAGCGGUGGAGCAUGUGGUUUAAUUCGAUGCAACGCGAAGAACCUUACCUACUCUUGACAUCCAUGGAAUCUUGUAGAGAUAUGA
rnacentral:rRNA from 1 species